AUCACCGAAGCUGCGGACUGUUCUUCGAACAGUGGUAGGAGAGCGUUCUAAGGGCUGUGAAGCCAGACCGGAAGGACUGGUGGAGCGCUUAGAAGUGAGAAUGCCGGUAUGAGUAGCGAAAGAGGGGUGAGAAUCCCCUCUACCGAAUGCCUAAGGUUUCCUGAGGAAGGCUCGUCCGCUCAGGGUUAGUCGGGACCUAAGCCGAGGCCGAAAGGCGUAGGCGAUGGACAACAGGUUGAUAUUCCUGUACCACCUCCUCACCAUUUGAGCAAUGGGGGGACGCAGGAGGAUAGGGUAAGCGCGGUAUUGGAUAUCCGCGUCCAAGCAGUUAGGCUGGGAAAUAGGCAAAUCCGUUUCCCAUAAGGCUGAGCUGUGAUGGCGAGCGAAAUAUAGUAGCGAAGUUCCUGAUUCCACACUGCCAAGAAAAGCCUCUAGCGAGGUGAGAGGUGCCCGUACCGCAAACCGACACAGGUAGGCGAGGAGAGAAUCCUAAGGUGAUCGAGAGAACUCUCGUUAAGGAACUCGGCAAAAUGACCCCGUAACUUCGGGAGAAGGGGUGCUCUGUUAGGGUGCAAGCCCGAGAGAGCCGCAGUGAAUAGGCCCAGGCGACUGUUUAGCAAAAACACAGGUCUCUGCGAAGCCGUAAGGCGAAGUAUAGGGGCUGACGCCUGCCCGGUGCUGGAAGGUUAAGAGGAGCGCUUAGCGUAAGCGAAGGUGCGAAUUGAAGCCCCAGUAAACGGCGGCCGUAACGAUAACGGUCCUAAGGUAACGAAAUUCCUUGUCGGGUAAGUUCCGACCCGCACGAAAGGCGCAACGAUCUGGGCACUGUCUCAACGAGAGACUCGGUGAAAUUAUAGUACCUGUGAAGAUGCAGGUUACCCGCGACAGGACGGAAAGACCCCGUGGAGCUUUACUGCAGCCUGAUAUUGAAUGUUGGUACAGCUUGUACAGGAUAGGUAGGAGCCUUGGAAACCGGAGCGCCAGCUUCGGUGGAGGCAUCGGUGGGAUACUACCCUGGCUGUAUUGACCUUCUAACCCGCCGCCCUUAUCGGGCGGGGAGACAGUGUCAGGUGGGCAGUUUGACUGGGGCGGUCGCCACCUAAAAGGUAACGGAGGCGCCCAAAGGUUCCCUCAGAAUGGUUGGAAAUCAUUCGCAGAGUGUAAAGGCACAAGGGAGCUUGACUGCGAGACCUACAAGUCGAGCAGGGACGAAAGUCGGGCUUAGUGAUCCGGUGGUUCCGCAUGGAAGGGCCAUCGCUCAACGGAUAAAAGCUACCCCGGGGAUAACAGGCUUAUCUCCCCCAAGAGUCCACAUCGACGGGGAGGUUUGGCACCUCGAUGUCGGCUCAUCGCAUCCUGGGGCUGUAGUCGGUCCCAAGGGUUGGGCUGUUCGCCCAUUAAAGCGGUACGCGAGCUGGGUUCAGAACGUCGUGAGACAGUUCGGUCCCUAUCCGUCGCGGGCGCAGGAAAUCUGAGAGGAGCUGUCCUUAGUACGAGAGGACCGGGAUGGACGCACCGCUGGUGUACCAGUUGUUCUGCCAAGGGCAUCGCUGGGUAGCUAUGUGCGGACGGGAUAAGUGCUGAAAGCAUCUAAGCAUGAAGCCCCCCUCAAGAUGAGAUUUCCCAUUCCGCAAGGAAGUAAGAUCCCUGAAAGAUGAUCAGGUUGAUAGGUCUGAGGUGGAAGUGUGGCGACACAUGGAGCUGACAGAUACUAAUCGAUCGAGG
rnacentral:rRNA from 1 species